UGGGUCUGCGUUUCAUUAGCUGGUUGGUGGGGUAAUGGCCUACCAAGGCGACGAUGAGUAGCUGGUCUGAGAGGAUGAUCAGCCACACUGGGACUGGAACACGGCCCAGACUCCUACGGGAGGCAGCAGUGGGGAAUAUUGGGCAAUGGGCGCAAGCCUGACCCAGCAACGCCGUGUGAGGGAAGAAGGUUUUCGGAUCGUAAACCUCUGUCAGAAGGGAAGAAGUGGCAGUUAUUUAAUAUAUAACUGCUUUGACGGUACCUUCAGAGGAAGCACCGGCUAACUCCGUGCCAGCAGCCGCGGUAAUACGGAGGGUGCAAGCGUUAUUCGGAAUCACUGGGCGUAAAGCGCGCGUAGGUUGCGUGGUAAGUCGGAUGUGAAAGCCCCCGGCUCAACCGGGGAACUGCAUUUGAAACUGCCAUGCUUGAGUACGACAGAGGGUGGCGGAAUUCCCGGUGUAGGAGUGAAAUCCGUAGAUAUCGGGAGGAACACCAGUGGCGAAGGCGGCCACC
rnacentral:rRNA from 1 species